rnacentral:rRNA from 1 species
GAAUAUUGGACAAUGGGCGAAAGCCUGAUCCAGCCAUGCCGCGUGUGUGAAGAAGGUCUUCGGAUUGUAAAGCACUUUACGUUGGGAGGAAGGGCUGUAAGCGAAUACCUUGCAGUUUUGACGUUACCGACAGAAUAAGCCCCGGCUAACUUCGUGCCAGCCGCCGCGGUAAUACGAAGGGUGCAAGCGUUACUCGGAAUUACUGGGCGUAAAGCGCGCGUAGGUGGUUUGGUAAGUUGGAUGUGAAAGCCCCGGGCUCAACCUGGGAACUGCAUCCAAAACUGCCUGACUAGAGUACGGUAGAGGGUGGUGGAAUUUCCUGUGUAGCGGUGAAAUGCGUAGAUAUAGGAAGGAACACCAGUGGCGAAGGCGACCACCUGGACUGAUACUGACACUGAGGUGCGAAAGCGUGGGGAGCAAACAGG